AGAUGGCCACCUCCUCCCUGUGUCUACACGUGGUCUUCACUCCUCCUUUGUCAUCUUAAUCUCUUCUUCUGAUAAGGACACCCACCAGUCUGACCAUAUUGGAGCCCCGCCACGUGAGCUCAGUUAACUGUACCUCUCUAGAGACCCUAUUUCCGAACACAGUCACGUUCUGAGGUAUGGGUGAGUAGGACUUCAACCUAUGGUUUUAAGGGGGACAGAAUUCAUCCAGUCAUAGUCACCAAGCUUCCCUGAAGCUCUACUAGUCUGGCAUAGAGAAAUCAGAGUGAACCAAGAUCAAAAUCUGAGGGCAACCUUGGCUUUCCCCUUCUACACAGAAUUGGAUGACAGCUAGGAGAUGGAUCUAUGAAUUUUCUCCCCUGAGAAACCAGACGGGACCACCUAGAGUCGGUCUCCUUCCCCCAAACGCCCUGGACCUACCAUGGGCACAAGCUGGGGCUCAGGGAAUACCUCUGUGCUCCACCACUCAGCAGCUGCUUUUCAAGAGAAGGAAAACACUACUACACGCCAUCCACAGCCACCGCACAAUACUGUAUCCCUUUGUCAGGGAUAAUAAAACAGACGGGAAGUCACUCUGGAACUUACUAUGGCCUUGGGUCAAAGGCAGGCUGACCGGGGCUGGCAGAAGAAAGCUAAAACUUACUUCUCUGGGAUUCUAGGAAUUUCAACAAAUGAGACCAACAGCAGAUAGUUUCAGAUUAAAGAAAGGCAAUGUGUUCCCAAACUUUGACCCCUGUGCACAGGCUCUGCAGAAAAGCUGUCACUUUGCACUCAGUUUCCUUAUAGGUAAAAUGGGGAUAAUAAUAUUGUCUGUCUGCCUAAUUUGUACAAGGCUCUUACAAGAGGGUAUAGCACAAAGUAAGUGCUUAAUAAAUGUGAGCUUUUCUUUGUAUUCCUGUUUCAUAGUAUUUGUAACUAUUUCACAAGAUUCAGAAACCUUGUCCCUGGACUGUGAUCAUCGCCUUUUCUUCAGUCUUCCAUUCACAGACCCAGCCUCUGGUGGGCAGUCACAACACAGCUGGCCAUGUCCAGAGAGGUCCAAAAACCUGCCCCAGGUGUCAAAGCAGCUAAGAAACAGGGCCGGGUGAGACUCUGCCUGACUCUUUCAUUCUGCCAAAUCUAAGCUAAGCAGUGAUUCCUAUGCCCACCUGGGAGGGGAGAAACCUGAGGCCCACCUUGUAAAUCCCUACAGGCUCAGUGUGCCUGGCAUUGGGAUGGGCAGAGGAGACAGAGGGAAUGCCAAAAAAAGAGCAGUUACAAAGGACAGACCACAGGUCCAGGAUGAGGGGACUUUCAACGGCUUGUUCGUGGUUCCGUUUUUGCCCAAACUCUCUCGAUCCACCUUUGAGCAACAGUAAUUAUCUCUUUGCCUCCAUCAACUCCAUUUACCAUCCCUGUCCAAUUCUUUCCCAAUAAGCCAGAGAAUAAGAGUGCAGACAUUAAAGGUCAGAUUUUCAUGGUGCUGAACCCAUUUAACCCAGCUGUGUGGCUUUGAGUAAGCUACCUAAGCUCUCUGAGCCUCCAUUUCCUCGUGUGCAAACCAAGGAAAAUACUCACCUACUUAUUAGAAGGAAAGAAAAGACUGAGUACCUGCCAUGUGACAGGCUUUCAACAAGGGACCACCUCUUGUCAUAAACAAGAGGCACAUGAACAAGUGACCACGGGUUUAACUUGUACACAGGUAUUAUGAAAACAACAAGUCUGCAUUUCAAUAAAUAUUUGUUAUAUAAAUGAACGGGACUGUUCCCAGAGCCUGCUGCUUGGAGGAAGCUAGGGAAUAAGGAACUCAAAAACAAGGUAAGAAUGUCAGAGCAGGGAAGGGAAGGGAGGAGGGAGGGAGUCGUGACCUUGGGUCAAAGGUAGGCUGACCGAUGCUGGCAGAAGAAAACUUAAACUUACUUUUCUGGGAUUCUAGGAAUUCCAACAAGUGACACCAACAACAGAUACUUUCAAAUUAAAGAAAGGCAUUGUUCCCAAACUUUGGCCCCUGUGCACAAGCUCUGCAGAAAAGCUAUCACUUUGUACUCAGUUUCCUUGUAGAUCAAAUGGGGAUAAUAAUAUUGCCUGUCUGCCUAAUUUGUAUGAAGCUCUUACAAGAGGGUCCAGCACAUAUAGUAGGUGCUCAAUAAAUGUGAGCUCUUCUUUGU
ensembl:lncRNA LINC02912 long intergenic non-protein coding RNA 2912